GGGGCCGACUGGUAUUGACAGCGAGUAUUAUAAAUUAGUAAGCAUGUCGCGUAAUAAAAUUGAUACGCGUAAAACACUAUUUUAAAUUUUAAACGGCGAAAAUAACUACGCUUUAGCUGCAUAAUCUGAAUUAUAGUAAGAUUAGCCUUGUUCCACUAGGUGGAAAAGCUAAAUGUUUCCUAGGAGCCUUGGUUAACGGCGCCUAAUAAGAGACAUCGUAAAUGUUAACAUAGAAAACUUGGAGUUUCGACUUGUUUUUAAAAUUAAGAAACUAAGUAAUAUAUGGAUUGUUUGUAGUCAUUAUAUUAUCGAAAAAUAAAUAUAAACUAUACAUGUAGAAAGCUAUUUUGUAGCUUGUUUGGACCCGAGUUCGAUUCUCGGCGGCUCCACGA
rnacentral:tmRNA from 1 species